CAGUAGCCGCGGUAAUACGUAGGUGGCAAGCGUUGUCCGGAAUUAUUGGGCGUAAAGGGCUCGCAGGCGGUUUCUUAAGUCUGAUGUGAAAGCCCCCGGCUCAACCGGGGAGGGUCAUUGGAAACUGGGAAACUUGAGUGCAGAAGAGGAGAGUGGAAUUCCACGUGUAGCGGUGAAAUGCGUAGAGAUGUGGAGGAACACCAGUGGCGAAGGCGACUCACUGGUCUGUAACUGACGCUGAGGAGCGAAAGCGUGGGGAGCGAACAGGAUUAGAUACCCUCGUAGUCCCUGUCUCUUAUAC
rnacentral:rRNA from 1 species